GCAAGCAUACCUAAUGACUUUUCUUGGUAUAAAAGAACUUUCACACAAGUCAGCGGUCAGUGGCAAGACACUGAUUCAAUGAGGGAAGAGUUGGAUGAUUUACAGAUUUUCUUGAGCACAAGAUGGGCU